AAAAAGAAUAGUUCAGAGCAUUAAUUUGCAGUUAUUACUUUAAACUAUUAAAUACUUCAGAAAUACUGGUCCAGAGACUAUGUUGAGAUUAAAUAUUUUGCUCAUGAAUUAUAAAGAUCCUAUAGGAAUCUAUCAUCAAAACCAGUAUAGACUAUGUUAUUGUGACAUCAUAUUAAUACACCAGUAUGACAUAUACGCGGCCACAUUAUAUACAAAAUGUAUGUAUUAAAAUGCUUUUAACUCAAUAAACACUUAUCCUUUAUUAUUAUUUUAAUAUUUUAUAGCAUAAAAAAAAAAAAAAAGAUUAUUU